rfam:Myotis brandtii contig186268, whole genome shotgun sequence.
GGCAGUUCUCAAGUGACACGCCCUGAAAUUGGGCCCCCUCCUCUCUGGUUCCAGUUGUGUCACCCGAGAACUGCA